UGGGGAAUCUUGCACAAUGGGGGCAACCCUGAUGCAGCGACGCCGCGUGAGCGAUGAAGCCCUUCGGGGCGUAAAGCUCUUUCGACCGGAACGAUAAUGACGGUACCGGGAGAAGAAGCUGCGGCUAACUACGUGCCAGCAGCCGCGGUAAUACGUAGGCAGCAAGCGUUGUUCGGAGUUACUGGGCGUAAAGAGUGCGUAGGCGGUUUUCUAAGUUCGGUGUGAAAUCUCCAGGCUUAACUGGGAGGGUGCGCCGAAGACUGGGAAGCUGGAGUGUGGGAAAGGCAGGCGGAAUUCCUGGUGUAGCGGUGAAAUGCGUAGAUAUCAGGAGGAACACCGGCGGUGUAGACGGCUUGCUAGACCAUAACUGACGCUGAGGCACGAAAGCGUGGGUAGCAAACA
rnacentral:rRNA from 1 species